rnacentral:rRNA from 1 species
GAAUUCGCCCUUAGAGUUUGAUCCUGGCUCAGGACGAACGCUGGCGGCGUGCUUAACACAUGCAAGUCGAGCGAGUGGAGUUCUUCGGAACAAAGCUAGCGGCGGACGGGUGAGUAACACGUGGGCAACCUGCCUCAUAGAGGGGAAUAGCCUCCCGAAAGGGAGAUUAAUACCGCAUAAGAUUGUAGCUUCGCAUGAAGUAGCAAUUAAAGGAGCAAUCCGCUAUGAGAUGGGCCCGCGGCGCAUUAGCUAGUUGGUGAGGUAACGGCUCACCAAGGCGACGAUGCGUAGCCGACCUGAGAGGGUGAUCGGCCACAUUGGGACUGAGACACGGCCCAGACUCCUACGGGAGGCAGCAGUGGGGAAUAUUGCACAAUGGGGGAAACCCUGAUGCAGCAACGCCGCGUGAGUGAUGACGGCCUUCGGGUUGUAAAGCUCUGUCUUCAGGGACGAUAAUGACGGUACCUGAGGAGGAAGCCACGGCUAACUACGUGCCAGCAGCCGCGGUAAUACGUAGGUGGCGAGCGUUGUCCGGAUUUACUGGGCGUAAAGGGAGCGUAGGCGGACUUUUAAGUGAGAUGUGAAAUACCCGGGCUCAACUUGGGUGCUGCAUUUCAAACUGGAAGUCUAGAGUGCAGGAGAGGAGAAUGGAAUUCCUAGUGUAGCGGUGAAAUGCGUAGAGAUUAGGAAGAACACCAGUGGCGAAGGCGAUUCUCUGGACUGUAACUGACGCUGAGGCUCGAAAGCGUGGGGAGCAAACCAGGAUUAGAUACCCUGGUAGUCCACGCCGUUAAACGAUGAAUACUAGGGUGUAGGGGUUGUCAUGACCUCUGUGCCGCCGCUAACGCAUUAAGUAUUCCGCCUGGGGAGUACGGUCGCAAGAUUAAAACUCAAAGGAAUUGACGGGGGCCCGCACAAGCAGCGGAGCAUGUGGUUUAAUUCGAAGCAACGCGAAGAACCUUACCUAGACUUGACAUCUCCUGCAUUACCCUUAAUCGGGGAAGUUCCUUCGGGAACAGGAAGACAGGUGGUGCAUGGUUGUCGUCAGCUCGUGUCGUGAGAUGUUGGGUUAAGUCCCGCAACGAGCGCAACCCUUAUUGUUAGUUGCUACCAUUUAGUUGAGCACUCUAGCGAGACUGCCCGGGUUAACCGGGAGGAAGGUGGGGAUGACGUCAAAUCAUCAUGCCCCUUAUGUCUAGGGCUACACACGUGCUACAAUGGCAAGUACAAAGAGAAGCAAGACCGCGAGGUGGAGCAAAACUCAAAAACUUGUCUCAGUUCGGAUUGUAGGCUGAAACUCGCCUACAUGAAGCUGGAGUUGCUAGUAAUCGCGAAUCAGCAUGUCGCGGUGAAUACGUUCCCGGGCCUUGCACACACCGCCCGUCA